GGGGGUGCCCGGUUUUGACAGCAGGCAGAGUUUGAUUGUAAGCACGUCGAGCGCUGUGCGGCGGCUCGUUAAUCCCGAUGCUCGAACUACAAAUGGCAAUAACAGCCUUGCACUCGCUGCCUAAUUUUCAAGGAAAAUUAGCUUAAUCGCCGGAGCCAAGGAGCUUUGGCGACGAGUAUCCCGGAGGGCGGUUCCGCUCCUUAACGGCUCUCCAUACGGGGUAUCAUCCAUUGGGAGAUAGUGCGCGGCAAGUCCCGGACCGCGUGCGAAAUUCAAGGGACUGGGCCCUGCGUUCGGCCGCCGUCGGCCAGGCGCGGGGAGAAGGACUAACCGACGGAUAAACGUGUAGAAAGCUUUCGGGUUCCCUGUUUGGACGAGGGUUCGACUCCCUCCACCUCCACGA
rnacentral:tmRNA from 1 species